UUUAAUCAGAUUUGGGUGGUUUUUUUGAGGAACAAGGGAAAAAUAAUGGUGUUACUCUUCAGUAUGAUUAAAAAAAUGCAUUCUUGAUUAUUUCUUUUUUUUUUAACAAAUAAAUGUGUCAGGUCAGUUUAUUCUCCCACUUCCAAGGACUCAUCAUGUAAUCAUAGAAUGUCCCAAGUUGGAAGAGACCCACAAGGAUCAUUGAGUCCAACUCCUUCUCCUCCAGGCUGAACAAACCAAUUGACUUUAGCUUACCCUCCAAACCCUUCACCAACUUCUAAUGACGUGAAUGUCUCCUCUCUGACGUAUAGCUGGAGAAGAGUCACCUGGUCCAAGGACUCAAAUUAGCUCCUCGCUGACAGUGGGAAGAUGAUCUGCAAGGCCACGGGAAGCGGUCCACCACUGGUCCACUGGCAAGAGUGGUUUGAUGGACAAGGGCCACUUGACAUUUUGAGGGUUGUUGGUGGCCCAUUGAUCCAGAUAGCUGGCCUCAGGUUGAGCCUUGGAGAUCAGGCCCUUGCAGAUGUGUGGAUCACAUGCUUCAGGAUGGAGAACAGAGAUCAGAAGUCACUGAACAGAAGUCAGCCAUGGAGCUGCUCAUCUCCCGUCUCCUGGAAGCUUCAUACUGGGCUCUCCUCAAAAGGCCUAAGGACAAGUGUCCACCUAUGGAAUCAGAGUGGGGAGGAACAGAACCAAUGUGGGUUGGUCUCAUGGAAGCUCCUCCUGUUAUUUGCCCUAAAGUUUUUCAAUUUUUCAGGUUCCCUGUGGUCAGAUCAUUAUGUCUGCCAGACCCUCCUACCCUCAUCACUUCUUAGGUGGUAUCUCAGAAGGUCCCAAAAUAUUUCCAUCUAUCCCAGCAUCAUCCCAGCCUGCACAUAUUGCCAUUUCCCACCCAUUUGCUAGUACACCAGGGAUUGCAGGACAGAAGAGGUUCUCGGCACCAGGUGUGAUUGCACCAACAAUGAUUUUUAAGCCCUAUACAAAAGCCACUGAAGCAGUUGUGGAAUCUAACCCUGUCUUGUUCUCCAGCCUCUGUUUUGGGUGGGGUUUUGUUGGAGGAAGACGACAGGUCAACAUGAUGCCUCUUGUUGUUUUGGGAAGGAAAGACCACAGUUUGAAGUAGGCAUUGUCCUGGAAGAACAGGCAGCUGUGUGUACUGAGCACCUCCCGGGUGAGGGCAAGAUCCAGUUCUUCCCAUCCUUGCAUCCAAUGACAGUAGCUGAAGAGUAAUUUUACCUCCUGGUUCUCUCCCUCCAUCUUUCUCCUUCUCAGGGAUUUACUUGUGGUUGGUCUUACAAGACUCAUUCUUUGUAUCCUUCCUGGCUGUGACACCUCCAAAAUCAGGACAGCAAGGUAGGUUGUCAUCACCAUCCCCCUGAGGCAGAUCUGUCGCCAUCUCAGACCUUCAGAGAUAUUUCAGUGCUUAAAUUACAGGGAAGCCAAGGGGAAUUCAGAGCUAAUCCCAGACAUGAGGUUUAUCGCAAACUAACAUGGGCUUAAACGCUCUACAUGCCAAAUCAUGGAAGGACUCAGACCCAGUGGCUUCUCCUACCCUGCGUCCCACACGCUCCCUGUUGCUGGGUGCUGUGAAGAUCACCAGGUACUCACUGUAGGAGCCUGUUAGUAAGGCAGACAUAAUUGUGUUCAAGAACAUAGUGUGGGCAGCCUGGGGCCAGGUUACACCAAGGUGUUGAAAACCUUCUGAGAACCUGUCCUUUCAAGCAGGGCGGGGAAAUGGUGCCCCAAGGGUAUCCCAAAUCUCUGUUUACUGGUAUGACCUGAUUUUGUGGUGUCUCCGGGACUCCUGUAUUGCCCAAAUCCCAGCUGGGUCUGGAUAUAAGUUGCAUACAGGAUCGUACCUGCACGCAGAGGCAUAAAUAGGGGUAUCCAGCAGUGAUGUCUGGGUGUCACAAGCUCCAGAGGAGGUCACCACCCUUUUAGCUGGCCUGGGGCUGGAACCAGACUGCAGAAGAGCUGUCAUGAAGGCAGCUAUGUCUACACCAAUAACACAUGGAGAGUGCAUGCACACUUUCAAGAGUUGCCCCACUGUUGUCCACACUGUUUAACUGUUAGCAUACUCCUCAGCAGGUUUUUGGCCUGACAAUCUGGGACCAUCCCAGACAAUUGCAGAUCUACUUUUGAAUUGGUAUUUUGGAUUCAGCCAUCUUAUUUUGUAGAAAGAAGCUUGGCUAUACAGAUGGGCACCCCAGGACCAGGAAAAGACACAGAGUGUUUCAUUUGCUAAUAUGCUUCCCUCAUGCUGUCCCAGACCUUGUCAGGACCAUAGAAUCAUAGAAUAAUGCAAUAGUUUGGGUUGGAAUAGACUUUCAAAGCUCAUCUAGGCUGACUCCCUGCUAUGAGCAGGGACAUCUUCACCCAGAUCAGGUUGCUCAGAGGCCCAUCCAGCCUGGCCUGGGAUGUCUCCAGGGAUGGGGCAUCCACCACCUCUCUAGGAAACCUGGGCUAGUAUUUUUCCACCUUCAUUGUAAAAAAUUUCUUCCUCAUGUCUAGCCUGGAUUUCCCCUCCUUUAAUUUAAAACCAUUACCUCUUGUCCUAUCUUGACCAGUGUGUUGACAGCAUACUAGAACAGUACCAUUAGAGAUGCAAAUCCAUUAUUUUCCAGAUGUUUUCCUACAAGCCUUCAGAAAUUUCUGCCUGGCUGAGACAGUAAAAGACUUACUCUGAUCUGGGGCUGUGCUGAUCAAGAUUGUAUCUUCCUCCUACUCACCUCCAUUUGUUUAGCUCUCUGUGUAAUUGCAUGAACAACUUGACCAUGCUGCUUCCAAACCCCAGGCCUGCUGUGAGUCAGAACUCAACAGACAUCUCCAAGAUGUUUAUUAUUUUUUAAAAUAGUGGCUGCAGAGUCCUGUGCGUGAGAAGCUAUAAAAGAAUAAAUGACAGGUGUCUUCUCCAUCAAGCUCAAGCUAGUUUCAGACUGGCCUUUCCGUGCCUGAACAUCAGAUGUUCAGAAGAUGUUCUGGGGAUAGAUGGGCAAAAUGACUGUAGGUCAGGACCAGGACAGGUUAAGAGGCUUGGACAGGUUAUUCAGCAGGGACCUCAUCACAGUCUAGCCCAGAGAAGGGACCUGAUAACACUGACCAGAACUGCAAUUCCCAGCACCACUAUGGGAGGUCUCAUCCCCGAUGCCUCAUUGCAAUUGCAUUUGUCCUGACUGCAACGUUUGUAAAGGUCUCAAAACAUUUGA